rnacentral:lncRNA from 1 species
AUGUCUCCCUCUUUUUAAUCACAUUGUUUUCAUAUACAAAGACAUUCUCAUUCACAUUGAAGGAGUUUGCCCUUCAACUAUAAUAAUAAAAGUAAUUAGCUUAUCCAAUCAACGUGUUUAACAUCAAUGAAAAAACUUGAAUUUGUUAAACAUAUUAUCAGAAAUUCAAAUUCUUAUGCAUGUAUAAAUAAUUUAUUAAAAGAGAGAAAUUUUAUUUUAAUAAUGAAUCGUUGAUCAAAAGAAAAAAAAAUAAAAAAGUUG